AACUAACGCUGGCGGCGCGUCUUAAACAUGCAAGUCGAACGAAAACCCCAGUGCUUGCAUUGGGGGGAAAGUGGCGAACGGGUGAGUAACACGUGGAUAAUAUGCCUUCAGGAUGGGGAUAACCACUCGAAAGGGUGGCUAAUACCGAAUAAGAUGGUAGCUGCAUAAGCAGCAGCCAUUAAAGAUGGGGGACCUUCGGGGCCUAUCACCUGAAGAUUAGUCCGCGGCCUAUUAGCUAGUUGGCAGGGUAAUGGCCUACCAAGGCUGCGAUGGGUAGCCGGCCUGAGAGGGCGAUCGGCCACAUUGGGACUGAGAUACGGCCCAAACUCCUACGGGUGGCAG
rnacentral:rRNA from 1 species